UACGGCCAAAUCGCGUUGAAACACCGGUUCUCGUACGAUCACCGAAGUUAAGCAACGUCGUGUCUCUUCAGUAUCUAGAUGGGUGAUCGAUUGGGAAUAUUGAGUUCUGUA